rnacentral:lncRNA from 1 species
GCGCACUCUUCCACAAUGGGGACGCAACUACCCCUUGGUUGCCUUCACGAAGAAGAACGUAAUAAAAGAGGCUCGAUGACGAGCUGAUGAAAUUUAUGACUAUUUUGAAGAUGUAGAGCUGACUGAGGAUGAUGGGUGGCCAAGCUCCUUCUCAGCGGGUGACACCUACGCCCUGUCCUUCCGGCAAGUCUACAGUAACUCGGCAAUGCUCUUACUGAAGAGUGGAACUGUCUUCCAUUUGCAACCAUCCAGACACAUAUCGGGAGCAUAGGACGACGGUGCUAAGCUGUUAUCGCAUCAAGUGGAUCACAUACGCGCUACUGAGAUUUGUUGGGGUUUUUAACAAGGAAUUAGCAUUCGUGAUAUUUUGGUCAGUUACUAUUACGGCAUGACCUGUUCAUUAAACACGUCUUCACGCAAUUUGAACACAUUUUGACGUAUUAUCUUGUAGGAUCCUUGGCACUCUUUGAGUAGUAGGCUAUAAACAUUAAGAAUGAUCUGGCUAUGUAGUCAUGUUGCGCUCCCGACACAUGUCUUCUAAAAAUAAUAAACGUACAGUAAAGUACGGAUAUAACGAACUCAAAGGGACUACUAAUUUUAGUUCGUUAUAACCGUAGUUCGUUAUAAGCAUAUAUACAGCAUAACUAAAGCAAAUAGUCGGGACCCAAAAAGUAAGUUCGUUAUAUCCGUCAGUUCGUUAUAAGCGUGUUCGUUAUAACCGUAGUUUACUGUAUUUUGUAUAUCUAUUGACUAAACAUCACAAUGAUUCCUGGCAUGAUUUUUUUUUAUGUAUUUUUCGUUUGGUGUUGCUAACGCACUUUCAGUUCUUGAAGCUCGAAGUGUAACACUAUCAUAGAGUAUAUGUGGCAGGCUCAUUUAUGUACAUACUUUUAAUUAAGAUUUAUUAGUAAGUAGUAAGGUUAUAUGGCCUUGUUACCAUUUUAACUGAUUAGUUUAUUACGAUGUCUAUAUUAUAAGAAUAUAUUAUUAGUUAUAAUAUUAGUUAUGUUUUAUACCUUAGUAUUUUAUAUCUUAAACAUUCAUUCCAUAGCUCUGUAACAUUAAGUAAGCUUACCCUCAGUCUAACUUCCACUAAUUGUCACACUGCAUGCUUUUGACUUACAGCACUCUUUGCCCCAGCGCGCCCUGGCCCAGUCUAUUGUCUUGUUGAUAGGCCAAGCUGGCCAUAGCUACAGCAAUGUCUGUUGUUGUAUUUUAGAAAAUCAGUUGCUAUUUGUCACCUCAAGGAAAGACUCUGCGAGAUGUAUUGCUGCUUUCAUUUCUAUGUGAGGAUUUGGAUUUGUAGAAGGAUUUAUUCAUAUUUAAGAUUUCUCAGUGGAAACAUUUACCGUACAAUCAUUGUCACGGUAUUACCAGUUCAGGUAUCACCUAUCUGACUGAAAUUAAGUACGUACAUUCGUACUGAUUAUAAAAUAAACGUCAUCAGCCUCACC